AUUCCAGCUCCAAUAGCGUAUAUUAAAGUUGUUGCAGUUAAAAAGCUCGUAGUUGGAUUUCUGUUUUGAAUGUCCGGUCGGUCAGUUUCUGAUGUGUACUUUGGAUAUUCGAAGCAUUUUUUGUGAGGGUCCUUGACUGGCAUUAAGUUGUUGGUUUUGGAAGCUUGCAUCGUUUACUGUGAAAAAAUUAGAGUGUUUCAAGCAGGCGUUUGCUUUUGAAUACAUUAGCAUGGAAUAAUAAGAUACGACUAGCGUGGUCUAUUUUGUUGGUUUGCACACGCAAGUAAUGAUUAAUAGGGACAGUUGGGGGUAUUCAUAUUUGAGCGUCAGAGGUGAAAUUCUUGGAUCGCUGAAAGAUGAGCUUAGGCGAAAGCAUUUAUCAUGGAUGUUUUCAUCA
rnacentral:rRNA from 1 species